rnacentral:rRNA from 1 species
CACGCCGUAAACGAUGGGUACUAGAUGUGGGAGGUGUCGACUCCUUCCGUAUCGUAGCUAACGCACUAAGUACCCCGCCUGGGGAGUACGGCCGCAAGGCUAAAACUCAAAGGAAUUGACGGGGGCCCGCACAAGCAGCGGAGCAUGUGGUUUAAUUCGACGCAACGCGAAGAACCUUACCUGGGCUUGACAUGUAUCUGACCGCCAUAGAGAUAUGGCUUCCCUUCGGGGCAGAUUCACAGGUGG